AUAGACACCAUGCUCCGGAUAAUCGCUGCCCACGGUCGAGUGGCUAUAUUCCGGCGUUCGGGACACAUGAGGAUAUUUCUUAGCACUGAAAUAUACCGAUCUCAAAUUAAUUCUCGAGAUAUUCAAUUAAAGCUCAGAUUGCAUUCGGAAAUUAAUUAAAAGAAAUAGCAUGCAACGUAACGAGAAAGAAAGAAUCCAAAAAAGAAAAUUUAAUGGACAUGUGGCAAGGAGAUCGGCCAAAACGCCGACCGA
rnacentral:sRNA from 1 species